rnacentral:rRNA from 1 species
GGUGAACGCUGGCGGUAUGCCUAAGACAUGCAAGUCGAACGGGCUGUUUAUGCAGCCAGUGGCGGACGGGUGAGUAACACGUAGGUGACCUACCCCAAAGUCUGGGACAACUAGGAGAAAUCUUAGCUAAUCCUGGAUGUGGACAUCUACUUUGGUGGAUGUUUAAAGCUUCGGCGCUUUGGGAUGGGCCUGCGGCGCAUCAGGUAGUUGGUGGGGUAAUGGGCCUACCAAGCCGACGACGCGUAGCUGGUCUGAGAGGACGAUCAGCCACAGGGGUACUGAGACACGGACCCCACUCCUACGGGAGGCAGCAGUUAGGAAUCUUCCGCAAUGGGCGAAAGCCUGACGGAGCGAUACCGCUUGAAGGACGAAGCCCUUCGGGGGUGUAAACUUCUGAACUCGGGGACGAUAAUGACGGGUACCGAGGGUAAUAGCACCGGGCUAAACUCCGUGCCAGCCGCCGCCGUAAAC